AAGAAAAAAUCGGCUUGUUUAGGUCGACCUACGCCCGUGGGUUUAGGGUUUUAGAAUUCGAGCCCCUCCUGCUCUUUCUAUUGUGUGUACUGGGAAGUUAAGAGAGAGGUUCCUCACGGGCUAGUUCGCAGGGCUUUUGGGAUCGCCUACUCCACUUGACCUUUCUUCUCUCAAUUUGUUUGUGUUCUCAACGACGAUGUGGGCGAUUCGUAGAGCUCCAAAUCCUAUUAGGAAUCAGAGUUGCUGCAUGCUGUUUAGCCAUGCUUUUUAUGCUAAGCCUGAAGCAUUUAGUAAUUUGGACAAUGGAGUUCAGUAUUCAAAAGUUUGUCUAAUUAAUGGAACUUAUCAUCUGACAAGGCCUGUUUCUGGCGGAGGCUUUCAUCGUUCACUGCUUUUAGUUUGGGGAAGAAACCUUUCUUCUCAGGUAGGACCUAAGUCUAGUGACAAGGAGGAUGACUUGGAGGAUGGGUUUUCUGAUCUUGAAGUACCUCCAGAAAUUGAGAAGAUUGAAGAACUUGCUGAAAAGAAUGAUGAUGAAUUGGUUUCUGAAGCAGAUAGUGCUGAGGAAGAUGUCGAUGAGGCUGAUAAGGGCUCCCUUGCAUUUUCUGAUACUGAUGAAAAAGAACUUGCCAAGAAGAGUCGUAGUUCUCCAGUUUUCAAAAUCAUAAUGGAAGCUACUCGCCUUUCUUUAACCAGUGCCCUUGAUCAGUGGGUGGAAGCAGGGAAUCCUUUGGGACGAGGUGAAAUAUCACUUGCAUUGCUGAACCUUAGAAAGCGUCGGUGGUAUGGAAAGGCCUUGCAGUUUAUGGAGUGGUUGGAAACAACUAAGCGUCUUGAAUAUGAAGAACGUGAAUAUGCAUCUCGUCUAGACUUGGUUGCUAAGGUUCAAGGCCUUCAAAAGGCAGAAAACUACAUUGAUAAAAUCCCCAAAUCCUUCAGGGGCGAGUUCCUAUAUAGAACUCUUUUAGCCAACUGUGUUGCUGCUGUUAAUGUUAAAAAAGCAGAAGAAGUAUUCAAUAAGAUCCGGGAUCUUGGCUUCCCCAUUUCAACCUUUGCUUGCAACCAACUAAUAUUGCUUUAUAAAAGGGUGGACCGAAAGAAGAUUGCUGAUGUACUUAAAAUGAUGGAAAAGGAAGAUGUUAAGCCAUCUCUCUUCACAUAUAGGCUUUUGAUAGAUACCAAAGGGCGCAUACACGAUAUAUCGGGCAUGGAAGAGGUUCUUGCAACAAUGAAGGCAGAAGGCAUUGAGCCUGACUUAUAUGUGCAAGCUGUAAUCGCAAAGCACUAUAUUUUUGCAAGUGAAAAUCAGAAGGCUGAGAAAUUAUUAAAGAAUAUUGAAGGGGAUGACAUCAGUAAGAACCGUGCUGCCUGUAAACCUCUUCUUACUCUAUAUGCGGCCCUUGGGAAGACUGAUGAUGUAGAGAGAAUUUGGAAUGUGUGCGAGCAAAAUCCCCGAUUAGAAGAAUGUUUAGCUGCCAUUGAGGCUUGGGGCAAGCUGGGAAAAGUGGAAGAUGCUGAGAAAGUAUUUGAGAAAAUGAUGAAAUCAUGGAAGAGACUUUCUUCAAAAUAUUACAAUGUUCUUUUGAAGGUUUAUGCUAAUCACAAGCUUUUAUCCAAAGGGAAGGAAUUGGCAAAGAGGAUGUCAGAUAAUGGGUGUCGGAUUGGCCCUUUGACUUGGGAUGCUCUGGUGAAUCUCUAUGUGGAGGCUGGGGAGGUUGAGAAAGCUGAUACUAUUUUGCACAAGGCUUCUGAACAGAAUCAGGUCAAGCCACUUUAUAACUCUUAUAUUUCUGUGUUGGAAAAAUAUGCCGACAGGGGUGACAUUCAUAAUGCGGAGAAGAUAUUUCAUAGGCUAAGGCAGAUAGGUUAUGUUGGUAGGAUGAGGCAGUAUCAGUUAGUACUGCAGGCCUAUGUAAAUGCCAAAACGCCAGCAUAUGGGUUUAGGGAGAGGAUGAAAGCAGAUAAUAUUUUCCCCAACAAGAUUACGCUUGCACAGUUGCAAGCUGUUGAUGCAUUCAGAAAGACACAGAUUUCGGAGCUGCUCGACUAAGUUUUUUUCUUAUUUAUCUGCAUUUUUAAACGAGGUGUGUAGGAUCCGACGUCAAAUGUGUGGAUACUCCACUAUCAAGAUACCAAUCAGCAGACUCUGAUUGUGAUUGCGAAUUGAAGAAUGUUGUAACUGGUUGUUCUGUGUUAUAUUUUUCAUCAUGCCUAUACCAGCAUUUUACUGCUGAAUGACCAUAUUUUCCGCAUAUUUGACAUGUUAUAGCUGGUCUAGUCGUUUUACCUCCUCGAUUUGUAUUUGUAGCAUUCGUUGUAUUUGCAGCACCUGACUGUGAUCGAUUGUUAUAUGAGUUUCUUCCUCCUCUUACGUCCUCUUGCUGCUGCUAAUGCUGUGGAAUUGCCCGAGAGCUGGAGUGAUUGAAGUUCUCUGCUAGUUUCAUGAGCAAGGUUAAUUUCCUCACUACAUAGUAAUGUAUACAAAUCAUCCAAAUUUAAUGGCUAUAGAUUUGUUCGGAUUGCUUUUUUAAACGCCUAAUACGUGUUUGGCAAUCCAUUUAGCGUAUAAUGAAUGACAUCUUCAUCAUCCAAUGUGUACCCAACUGCUGCUAGUGAAUCUACUUUUGUUUUGACAUCUAACAGGUAUUGACUCAUUGUUUUAUCCUUCAUAGUCAAAUGGUGCAUUUCUUUUUUGAGUUGAAUUAUUUUGGAUCUGGUGCUUGAUAGAAGUCUUUUAUCCAGGGUAUUCCAUAUGUCUUUACUGUGUUCAACAGUGAGCACAUACGGUAAUAUUGCUGGAGAAAUUACUGAAUAAAGAGCUGCUGCAAGAUUUUGAUCUAAUAGAUUCCAAUUUGUAUAAUCUGGAUUUACAAUGUUUUGCCCUGUGGCAUUUUGUUUGAAUUUUGACGGUGCUUCAUUGCUUCCAUAAAAAAAUCCUUCAAAACCAUUUGCACGAAAUAGUUUGUGUACCUGUGAUCUCCAGAUCGGAAAAUUUUCUGCUGUGAGGGAUUGAGAAAUAAUAUUCUUGAUAUUUCCCAUCAAGAAUUUGAGUGAUGAUGGAAUCUGCGGUAGAUCGUUCAUCCUUGGAGUUGCUAUUUCUUCUUCUUGAUUUGUAGAAGACAUCGUAGAUGAAUUUCUCAUACACUUUUAUUUGAAGAAAAAAAAUUGAUAUAUGGAUCAAUGCUCUGAUACCAUGUAAGAAAUCAUUCUCUGGUAAUAACCAGAGAAUUGAAAGCAGAAAAGGCGGAAAACAAUUAGCGGGAAAAGCCACUUCCGUCUUGGAUGAGUAGGCUUAUUUAUAUUUGAUUUUCAAGAAUUCUGUUACAAACAUGUGGUUAGAAAUGACUUAAGAGCAAUUAACAAUACAUGGCCAAUAGUUAGCCAGGUGUACAUAACAACAAGUAAAACUAUCUGUAUAUCUUAACAAAUUCAAUGUGCAGGAAUUUUUCUUUAGAUUCUAGUGAGUUUGCUUGACUUUUGACCACUUUAUUUGGAAUUGAAGAUCGAGGCUGACGUUACAAAAUUGACAAUUGAGUGUAGUAGGAUAGGAUGAUCCAUUGUGAUUGUGUGGUGGGUUAGAAGUUAUUUCAAGCGAUUAAACAGCUUUUAUGCUACAGAAUAAUACCCUAUGCAAAUACAGACUACAAGUUUUUAAGGCGAGAACUACUUGGACAGUUGAUGGUUUAGCCGAGUAAACUCAACAAAUUGAUUAGUAUUCUAGGUGAGCACCCCUAUUGAAUGGAGAUGGAGAACAUCUCAAGCAUCUAGGUCGAAUUCAAAAACUAAUUGUCAAGGAAUAGAUUUAAGACUAGCUCUUGAGCAAUUCGUUCCAAGUUGUUAGUGUUUUAGGUUUUAUUUGAGACGACUUUUUUAUUACUUCUUAAAACAUAAUUUUAAUUAAAACAAUUUAAAUUUUUAUUAAAAUUUUGUUUUAAAAAGUAAUAAAAACAUUGUCUCAAUGAGUUAGGCUGCAUCUUGACAAACCCAACCUAAACUGAUAUGGGACUUAGAAUGUUGUAUUAGUUUAAAGUCAUGCAAAUAGAUUGAUUCCAUGCCGAUUGCAGCAAUCCUUUCACAAACAUCCUCCAUUUGUUUGCUGAAACAUUUCAAACUCCUUGUGAAUGGUUAAAUGAUUUUGCUUUGAUGGAAAUUACAUAACAAACUUAUGAUUUAGGUCAAGUUCUGAUCUAUCCAUUUUUGAGAACAAAAUAAGCUGAUUCUCAUACGAGCUUGCAAUGAGAAAUGCUCUCUUCUAAUCAAGUUAAUAAGAAGACAAAGAUCAGCGUUGUAUGCUAUAAUCUGUUGAUGUGACGUUCAAUUAAAUUCCAAUUCUGCACCUCGUAGAAGAUUAAAAUUCAAACUUUAGAGUCAGGCAUCCAAGGACUGUGUGCCCACCAUUAAUAAUAAUUUAAUCACCUUCUAUCCAAUCCAUUAUUCUUGCCGAGGAAGGUCUCGAUGCCUGUGAUGCUACAAAUAGCCAUGGUUGGAGAAGCUUGAGAAAACAGAAGACGAAGGCAGAGGGAGGAGAUCAGUAUCAGCAUAAUUUGACAUGGAAAGCAAGAACUUAGGCUCUGAUUCAAAAAUCAUUGAAGUCGAUGACACAGUUGAAAAAAAUAAGGAAGAAUUAAAAGAGAAGAAUGGGGAUGAACUUCCUCAGUGUCAUCAUCAUAGUUCCGAUUCCAAUUCCAAAUCUGGCUCAGGAAGUGACUCUAAUGAUAGCUCUAAAUCAGGCUCUACAAAAGGAUAUAAUGAAGAAAAAUCCAAGGAGAAAGCUCGUCUGAAGAAGAAGCACAAGAGAAGGGCCCUUAAAGGGAAGCUGAAAGAGAAAGCAAGUGAAACAAAAGAUGGAGGAGCACCGGUUAAUAGUGAUGAAGUCAACAAGCUUGAAUGCCAUAGCGAUUCCAGUACGAGUUCAAAAUCUAGCUCCAAAUCAGCCUCGAGCUCUAAAUCUUCCGUCAGUUCCAAAUCCGUCUCGAGCAAAUCUAACUCUGACUCUGGUUCGAAAUCCGGCUCGGAUUCGGGAGGUAAGAAAACCAAAUUGAAGAAGAAAGGGCUGAAGCAGAAGGCAAAAGAAACUUCUUUCCCUGCUGAAGAGGGUAAAGUGCCAGAAAAGAAGAAGCUCACAGAAGCUGAAGAGGAAAUUGAGGCCAAGGGUGCAGAGAAAACAGAAAAUACAACAACGUCAAAGGAAGAAGAGAGCAAGGGAAUAUCAGAAACGAUCAAGGAUCAGCUUCCUGUUUAUGGAAAGAAUGCGGUGGAAAAAAAUACUGAAACUUCGAUAUGAUGUGAUUUCUGUAAAUAUGAACGCUUGCUAUACCGUAAAAGAUGUGUGAAUCUAUAUGUUUGUUUUAUGUGGCAAUUACUAAGUACAAAGGCAAAAUGAUAGCCCUGCUUAUCCGUGUGCAUGAAAUAUAUAUGAAAUAAAGUAAUUGAUGGUAUUUUUCAGCA